GACGAACGCUGGCGGCGUGCUUAACACAUGCAAGUCGAACGGAAAGGCCCUGCUUUUGUGGGGUGCUCGAGUGGCGAACGGGUGAGUAACACGUGAGUAACCUGCCCUUGACUUUGGGAUAACUUCAGGAAACUGGGGCUAAUACCGGAUAGGAGCUCCUGCUGCAUGGUGGGGGUUGGAAAGUUUCGGCGGUUGGGGAUGGACUCGCGGCUUAUCAGCUUGUUGGUGGGGUAGUGGCUUACCAAGGCUUUGACGGGUAGCCGGCCUGAGAGGGUGACCGGCCACAUUGGGACUGAGAUACGGCCCAGACUCCUACGGGAGGCAGCAGUGGGGAAUAUUGCACAAUGGGCGGAAGCCUGAUGCAGCAACGCCGCGUGCGGGAUGACGGCCUUCGGGUUGUAAACCGCUUUCGCCUGUGACGAAGCGUGAGUGGCGGUAAUGGGUAAAGAAGCACCGGCUAACUACGCG
rnacentral:rRNA from 1 species